rnacentral:rRNA from 1 species
AGAGUUUGAUCAUGGCUCAGGACGAACGCUUGCGGCGUGCCUAAGAAAUGCAAGUCGAGCGAGGUUAGAGAGCUUGCUCUCGAAACCUAGCGGCGAACGGUCGCGUAACACGUAAGCAACCUGCCCCUAAGACCGGGAUAGCCCGCUGAAAAGUGGAUUAAUACCGGAUGUGGACACAUUGAGACAUCUCUGAUGUGUCUAAACCAGGCAACUGGCUUAGGGAUGGGCUUGCGGCCUAUCAGCUAGUUGGUGAGGUAACGGCCCACCAAGGCGACGACGGGUAGCUGGUCUGAGAGGAUGGUCAGCCGGACUGGGACUGAGAUACGGCCCAGACUCCUACGGGGGGCAGCAAUUAGGAAUCUUGCGCAAUGGGGGAAACCCUGACGCAGCGACGCCGCGUGAAGGAUGAAGGCCUUCGGGUCGUAAACUUCUUUUAAGAGGGAAGAAGAAAGUGACGGUACCUCUUGAAUAAGCCCCGGCUAACUACGUGCCAGCCGCCGCGGUAAUUC